UGCCGGACCUGACUGCUAUCGGAUUGAUACUAAGCCAUGCGAGUCAUUGUAGCAAUACAAGGCAUACGGCUCAGUAACGCGUAGUCAACCUAACCUAUGGACGGGAAUAACCUCGGGAAACUGAGAAUAAUGCCCGAUAGAACAUUAUGCCUGGAAUGGUUUAUGUUCCAAAUGAUUUAUCGCCGUAGGAUGGGACUGCGGCCUAUCAGUUUGUUGGUGAGGUAAUGGCCCACCAAGACUAUUACAGGUACGGGCUCUGAGAGGAGUAGCCCGGAGAUGGGUACUGAGACACGGACCCAGGCCCUAUGGGGCGCAGCAGGCGAGAAAACUUUGCAAUGUGCGAAAGCACGACAAGGUUAAUCCGAGUGGUUUCUGCUAAAGAAACCUUUUGUCAGUCCUAGAAACACUGAUGAAUAAGGGGUGGGCAAGUUCUGGUGU
rnacentral:rRNA from 1 species